rnacentral:rRNA from 1 species
CCGCUUGGAAUUAAGCAUAUCAAUAAGCGGAGGAAAAGAAACCAACAGGGAUUGCCUCAGUAACGGCGAGUGAAGCGGCAACAGCUCAAAUUUGAAAUCUGGCCCUCUCAGGGUCCGAGUUGUAAUUUGGAGAAGAUGCUUCGGGUGUGGCCCCGGUCUAAGUUCCUUGGAACAGGACGUCACAGAGGGUGAGAAUCCCGUACGUGACCGGUGGCCGCCCCCGUGUGAAGCUCUUUCGACGAGUCGAGUUGUUUGGGAAUGCAGCUCAAAAUGGGUGGUAAAUUUCAUCUAAAGCUAAAUAUUGGCCAGAGACCGAUAGCGCACAAGUAGAGUGAUCGAAAGAUGAAAAGCACUUUGGAAAGAGAGUUAAACAGUACGUGAAAUUGUUGAAAGGGAAGCGCUUGCAACCAGACUUGCGCGCGGCCGAUCAUCCGGUGUUCGCACCGGUGCACUCGGUCGUGCUCAGGCCAGCAUCGGUUUGGGUGGUUGGAUAAAGGCCUCGGGAAUGUGGCUCUCUUCGGGGAGUGUUAUAGCCCGAGGUGCAAUGCAGCCCACCCGGACCGAGGACCGCGCUUCGGCUAGGAUGCUGGCGUAAUGGUUGUAAGCGACCCGUCUGAAAACCACGGAA